CAACUGAUUUGAAGAGCUUGCUCAGAUAUGACGAUGGACAUUGCAAAGAGUGGCGAACGGGUGAGUAACACGUGGGAAACCUACCUCUUAGCAGGGGAUAACAUUUGGAAACAGAUGCUAAUACCGUAUAACAAUGACAACCGCAUGGUUGUUAUUUAAAAGAUGGUUCUGCUAUCACUAAGAGAUGGUCCCGCGGUGCAUUAGCUAGUUGGUAAGGUAAUGGCUUACCAAGGCGAUGAUGCAUAGCCGAGUUGAGAGACUGAUCGGCCACAAUGGGACUGAGACACGGCCCAUACUCCUACGGGAGGCAGCAGUAGGGAAUCUUCCACAAUGGGCGAAAGCCUGAUGGAGCAACGCCGCGUGUGUGAUGAAGGGUUUCGGCUCGUAAAACACUGUUGUAAGAGAAGAAUGACAUUGAGAGUAACUGUUCAAUGUGUGACGGUAUCUUACCAGAAAGGAACGGCUAAAUACGUGCCAGCAGCCGCGGUAAUACGUAUGUUCCAAGCGUUAUCCGGAUUUAUUGGGCGUAAAGCGAGCGCAGACGGUUAUUUAAGUCUGAAGUGAAAGCCCUCAGCUCAACUGAGGAAUUGCUUUGGAAACUGGAUGACUUGAGUGCAGUAGAGGAAAGUGGAACUCCAUGUGUAGCGGUGAAAUGCGUAGAUAUAUGGAAGAACACCAGUGGCGAAGGCGGCUUUCUGGACUGUAACUGACGUUGAGGCUCGAAAGUGUGGGUAGCAAACAGGAUUAGAUACCCUGGUAGUCCACA
rnacentral:rRNA from 1 species